rnacentral:rRNA from 1 species
GACGAACGCUGGCGGCGUGCUUAACACAUGCAAGUCGAACGGUAAGGCCCCAGCUUGCUGGGGUACACGAGUGGCGAACGGGUGAGUAACACGUGGGUGACCUGCCCCGCACUUCGGGAUAAGCCUGGGAAACUGGGUCUAAUACCGGAUAGGACCGCACCGUGAGGGUGUGGUGGAAAGUUUUUCGGUGUGGGAUGGGCCCGCGGCCUAUCAGCUUGUUGGUGGGGUAAUGGCCUACCAAGGCGGCGACGGGUAGCCGGCCUGAGAGGGUGGACGGCCACAUUGGGACUGAGACGCGGCCCAGACUCCUACGGGAGGCAGCAGUGGGGAAUAUUGCACAAUGGGCGGAAGCCUGAUGCAGCGACGCCACGUGGGGGAUGACGGCCUUCGGGUUGUAAACUCCUUUCACCAUCGACGAAGGUUUUCUGACGGUAGAUGGAGAAGAAGCACCGGCUAACUACGUG